rnacentral:ncRNA from 2 species
CCAAUAGCGUAUAUUAAAGUUGUUGCAGUUAAAAAGCUCGUAGUUGAAUUUCGGGGUUAGUAGGUUGGUCAUGCCUCUGGUAUGUACUGGUCUCACUGAUUCCUCCUUCCUUAUGAACCGUAAUGCCAUUAAUUUGGUGUUGCGGGAAAUUUGGACUGUUACUUUGAAAAAAUUAGAGUGUUUAAAGCAAGCUAACGCUUGAAUACAUUAGCAUGGAAUAAUGAAAUAGGACGUUCGAUCUUAUUUUGUUGGUUUCUAGGAUUGACGUAAUGAUUAAUAGGGAUAGUUGGGGGCAUUAGUAUUCAAUUGUCAGAGGUGAAAUUCUUGGAUUUAUUGAAGACUAACUACUGCGAAAGCAUUUGCCAAGGAUGUUUUCAUUAAUCAAGAACGAAAGUUAGGGGAUCGAAGACGAUCAGAUACCGUCGUAGUCUUAACCAUAAACUAUGCCGACUAGGGAUCGGAUGAUGUUAAUUUUUUAAUGACUCAUUCGGCGCCUUACG